rnacentral:rRNA from 1 species
GAUGAACGCUGGCGGGGUGCCUAAUACAUGCAAGUCGAGCGAACAGACGAGGAGCUUGCUCCUCUGACGUUAGCGGCGGACGGGUGAGUAACACGUGGAUAACCUACCUAUAAGACUGGGAUAACUUCGGGAAACCGGAGCUAAUACCGGAUAACAUGUUGAACCGCAUGGUUCAACAGUGAAAGACGGUCUUGCUGUCACUUAUAGAUGGAUCCGCGCCGCAUUAGCUAGUUGGUAAGGUAACGGCUUACCAAGGCAACGAUGCGUAGCCGACCUGAGAGGGUGAUCGGCCACACUGGAACUGAGACACGGUCCAGACUCCUACGGGAGGCAGCAGUAGGGAAUCUUCCGCAAUGGGCGAAAGCCUGACGGAGCAACGCCGCGUGAGUGAAGAAGGUCUUCGGAUCGUAAAACUCUGUUAUUAGGGAAGAACAAAUGUGUAAGUAACUAUGCACGUCUUGACGGUACCUAAUCAGAAAGCCACGGCUAACUACGUG